rnacentral:rRNA from 1 species
UAACGGAGAGGUAUCGUAAUUGAAGAGGUUUGGAAAGACCCACCACAGAAGGUAAUAGUCCUGUAUGUUAAACGAGAAGACUUUAGAUAUGAUCCAGAGUACCACGGGACACGUGAAACCCUGUGGGAAGCAGGAGGGACCACCCUCCAAGGCUAAAUACUACCUAGUGACCGAUAGCGUAUAGUACCGUGAGGGAAAGGUGAAAAGAACCCCGGGAGGGGAGUGAAAUAGAACCUGAAACCCUGCACUUACAAGCUGUGGAAGCACAUUUCUUGUGUGACCGCGUACUUUUUGUAGAACGGGCCAACGAGUUACGUUAAGUAGCAAGGUUAAGCACUUAAGGUGUGGAGCCGUAGCGAAAGCGAGUUUUAACUGAGCGUUCAGUUACUUGACGUAGACCCGAAACCGGGCGACCUACCCAUGAGCAGGAUGAAGCGAAAGUAAAAUUUCGUGGAGGUCCGAACCCACGAGCGUUGAAAAGCUCGGGGAUGACUUGUGGGUAGCGGUGAAAUUCCAAUCGAGCCCGGAGAUAGCUGGUUCUCCCCGAAAUAGCUUUAGGGCUAGCCUCAAGGUGAGAGAUACGGAGGUAGAGCACUGAAUGUCCUAGGGGGUAUUGCACCUACCGAAGACUAUCAAACUCCGAAUGCCGUCAUCUUAUACUUGGGAGUCAGACUGUGGGUGAUAAGAUUCAUAGUCGAAAGGGCAACAGCCCAGAUCGUCAGCUAAGGUCCCUAAAUGUAAGUUAAGUGGUAAAGGAUGUGGGAUUGCACAGACAACCAGGAUGUUGGCUUAGAAGCAGCCACUCAUUCAAAGAGUGCGUAAUAGCUCACUGGUCGAGUGAUCCUGCGCCGAAGAUUUCCGGGGCUAAAACUUACUACCGAAGCUACGGCAUCAGUAAUGAUGGGUAGGGGAGCUUCCCAUACGGGUUGAAGCAUGACCGUAAGGACAUGUGGACAGUAUGGGAGUGAGAAUGUUGGCAUGAGUAGCGAGAUGUGGGUGAGAAUCCCACAGGCCGUAAACCCAAGGUUUCCAGGGGAAGGUUCGUCCGCCCUGGGUUAGUCGGGACCUAAGCUGAGGCCGAAAGGCGUAGGUGAUGGACAACAGGUUGAUAUUCCUGUACUACCGAUAACCGUUUGAGAGAAGGGAUGACACAGUAGGAUAAGCUAAGCACACUGUUGGUUAUGUGUGCCCAAGCAUUGAGGCAGUCAAAGUAGGCAAAUCCGCUUUGAUAAUGCUGGGAUGUGAUGGGGAGCGAAAUUUAGUAGCGAAGUAGCUGAUUUCACACUGUCAAGAAAAGUCUCUAUCGAGGUUAAAGGUACCCGUACCGCAAACCGACACAGGUGGGUGAGGAGAGUAUCCUAAGGCCAGCGAGAGAACUGUUGUUAAGGAACUCGGCAAAAUGACCCCGUAACUUAGGGAUAAGGGGUGCCACCAUUAGGUGGCCGCAGAGAAUAGGCCCAAGCGACUGUUUACCAAAAACAUAGGUUUCUGCUAAGUCGCAAGACGAUGUAUAGGAGCUGACGCCUGCCCGGUGCUGGAAGGUUAAGGGGAUCUGUUAGAG